AUGCCCUAGCAAUUCCACCGCUGAUCCUCUACUCCUCAUGCGAACACCUCGCGACGCCUCCUCCCUUCCUUCGCCAAAACCCUUUCUCCCCUCUUCCCAUCGCCGGGCGUCUUCUCCUCUUCUCUCCUGAGCCGCGCCGCCGAGCUCUCCUUCUUUCCCCUCUCAUCUUUUCCGUAAGCUUGCUUCACCCAGUCGCCACGGCCGACGCCAGCGGACGAGAGCCACCCGAGCGCCAUCGAGGGUCAUCUCUCUGGUCUUCUUCCUCCUUCCUCCGUGUGCCUCUGCCCUAGUGCGAUCGUUGCCUUCUCAUUGUCGUCUCGAUCUCCUCUUCCCUCCCGAGCCAUACAUGGCCGCCUGACGCCGCCACCCUCUCCGACCACCGUCCAGUGUCGAGCCUUCCUCUCCUGAUGCCCUCAAUUUCUUCUCGCCUCACACUGUUGAUCCUCCCUUCGUUGAGUUCAACAGUCGCGUGACCUAAGCUCUGUCGGAGAGGGAAUUGCCAAUUUGGGAUUACAGGAGAAGUAGAGGAUAGUUGUAGAUUGCCGCUGUUGGUUGUAAGCCACUUCCAGUGCUACCUUGUUGCCAAAUUUGGGGAUUUGAGUUGGAUGUGAUCUUUUGGAUCUUGUUGAAGAUGGUUGACACGAGCUACGUAUAAAGGCGGGU